rnacentral:lncRNA from 1 species
GAAAAAAAAUCCACAUGUACUCUGAAACUACAAGUCCAAUCGACCUUAAAAUUUGCAGUCAGCAGGGCAUACAUGUACUAAAAGUUCAUAAAACAACGUGGUGCAGCUACUUCUCAAGAAUUUUUCUAGAGAAAAGAAAUGGCAAUGCCGUAAAAAUCGCUUGCUAGGUCCGUAAAUCUCAGUGAAAUCCUACAAUAAAAUGUCCGCUCCUAGAUUGAAAUACUUAUCUGUGUUACAAAUGUUACAAACAGGUGCUGAAAAUGUACAUUAUCAGAAAAUAAUCCUUAAAUGUGUUUUAAAGUUACACCGGAUCAAUUAAAUCCAAAUCAUGCACUGCUGGUGAACUUUGAUCAAAAAUGUCAAUUUCCUACAAUGACAAAAGAAAUACAUUGUGUACAUUCCGUCUCUAUACAUGUUGUCUGUUCAACGUCCCCACCUAAAAAGGAAUAAAAAUACUAAAUUUUCGUUAUUAUAAACCCGUGUCACGUGAUGUCUCCUCAAUCUGGCGCGAGAGUCGCGCGCUGGACCUGAACUAAAAUAAAAACUUUCCAAACUAAACAUGAAACUUCUCCGGUAACAUAAUAAUAUAGACCCUUUACAAAAACAAACAAACAAACACCCCCCCCCCCAAAAAAAAAAUCAAUCAUGUUUCAAAGGGGGAAAGACCGUCUACAAUUGCUUUUUGAAAGCAAUUGAUUUAUAUUUAUUUUUUUUUUCUUCCGCCUAAUUUUUUUCUUGCGUAAUUUUGUUGUUUCAAAAGAUGUCGCUUAGAUAUUUGAAAUAUGAUAUCGUAUAGUUUAUACGCUUUAAAACUGACAACCUCGCAACUAAAUACUUUGCGUUGUAAGAGUUAUCUCCCCAAACACUGUUUUUCUUGUGGCCACUACUCCUUCGCAACUGUAAAAGAUUACGACAAAUUUAUUUUACCAAAUUACU